UACGUAGGCAGCGAGCGUUGUUCGGAGUUACUGGGCGUAAAGCGCACGUAGGCGGAUUGUUAAGUCAGGGGUGAAAUCCUGGAGCUCAACUCCAGAACUGCCUUUGAUACUGGCGAUCUUGAGUCCGGGAGAGGUGAGUGGAACUGCGAGUGUAGAGGUGAAAUUCGUAGAUAUGGGGAGGAACACCGGUAGCGAAGGCGGCCACCUGGACGGUAACUGACGCUGAGACGCGAAAGCGUGGGGAGCAAACAGG
rnacentral:rRNA from 1 species